CAUCAGUUCAUCUAGAUUUUUCCAAGAUAGAGAACCGGAAGAUUGGAUCAUAUUGGAAUUCCACUAGAUGUCUUCAAUGAAAAAUUUGGUUCCCUCGUAUUCAAGAUUUUCAGCUACAAAACUAUUUUCCCUUUUAAUCAUUCAUCCUCUGUUUUUGCUUUUCUGCUCCAGCUGCGUUUGGCCUUGGCUUCUAGAUCCAUUUCAAAAUUUCUCUAUUUUUCCGAAAUGUGUGUGGUUCGCUAAGUUCUGCUUAGUUUUCUUUUGUGCUCAGUGCUUCUUUCUUGAUGAGCAUAUGAAUAUUUGAUUCUAUUUUGUUUAGAGAUGAUUGAUUUUGAUAUUAAACUUUCCUUCUUUCUUCGUGUUUCCUUUAUGGAUUCUGUCAUACUCAUACAUGUGGUUAUUUUUUAAAAUGCCUCUUUAAAAAUUUUCAGCUUUGGUAACCUGACUGCUCCCCUACAGCGGCUACAGAAAAUUGCCACUGGGAGAAAAAUAAACUAACAACGGAAGAGUUUUAAUGCAACCAAUAUGUUUGAUGAAAUUCCAAUGUAUUUGAUGAAAUUCUCCAAUGUAAAGAAGAUAGUUUCAACAAUUCGGUUGACCUCUUCUCUGCAAUCAAUCAAGCUUUUUACAUAUCAAUGGACACUGAUUAAAUUAGUACAACUUGAUUUCUACUACUGAUUGCACUUUGAAUUCCCAUUUUGUUGAUUGGGAGAGAAAGUAUGAACUCGAGGGAGAUUCUAGAGCAGCAGAAAAAACAUUGGUCAUAAUCGAAAAAGAGAAAAAGGGGCAGGAGAGGCAAUCGAAGAAAAUGACAUCAAACAACUAUUGCCAAGGUGAUGCUGACUUGAUAGCUGAACGUUAAUUAGGUAUGGACUAAUAUUAGGCUUAUAUUUUGUGUAUCUUUUAAUUGUUAUAUUCCUAUAUGCGCAUGCACACAUACCCAUAUCAGUAUGGCACGAGCGAGCGACUAUGUGUGUAUGUGUGUAAAGUAUUCUUUUAGAAAAUAUUUUACUUAAAGAUAUUACUUGCCAAGUCAUUUUUCUUAUUUGGUUGAACAGAGAAAAUGAAACGCAAGCUUCGUUGAUAAUCACAAAUAGUAAACAAUGGAGAUGAUAUUUACAUGUUAUAUGAGUAAGCGAUACAGAAUAGGAGUGGAGUGGAAAUAAUUUUCAAAAUGGAUACAACUACAAGCUAGAAAAUAGUUUCAUUAGUGAAAAUGAAUUCACCAUCAGAGUGGAAGUUUUCAUUGUACUCAUACUUUCAAUGUGCUCUCUGUUAAAGUUAACAUAGUAUAAUAGCUUUUCUCCAACCAGUUUGCAAUAAUAUUGAAUUUCUCUCAUGAAUUUUAUAUGUUCUUCUUUUUGCUUUGCUUUGCUCUGUUGUUUAGUUAAUUAAGUUGCUGGAUUUUAGUACUAAUUUAGGUAAUGCAGAAUAGGGGUGAAAAGGAUGUAAAAGAAGUUUUGAGUUUAAAUAGCCUAAGGAGUAUAUGAUGAGUCCAACCCUGAAGAAUAAGCCACACGGUUAUCACAGCUUCUGCAUCUUAUAAAAGUUCUAAUUGUUAGAUUAUUGCAUCUAUUACAGUAAACUACUUAAAGUUCUAUAAAACUUUUUGAUUUUGUUAAACUCUUCCACUAAGAUAUUUCCAAGGGAAAAUGGCAAAAGGUCCACAUUUUAUAUAAAAUAUUUUUGUUCACCUUUAUAUGAGAAACUUUAAGAAUUUUCUAGAGAUCACAGACUAUCCAGUAGGUGACAGCUUUUGUUGAUUUCAAUUGAUAUAGUUUAUGUUGUCCUUGAUUGAAUCGUAGUAACUUGAAAUUAUCUCAAUUUUUUGUUAAUACCUCUUGAAGCUGAUAAAAGUACUCGAUAAAUUGAAGAUGUUGUUCUUAAAGUGCUCAAGUGCAAGGAUAUGUAGACCUCUUAACUCACUUAUUUAGAGUGCAAUGGCUUGCUUGUUAGUGUUGUCUUCCGAGCUGCGCCUCUGGUCCUGAAACACCUAAAAUUAUGUCUGAGGAUAAGUUAUAUACAUGAAUAUUUGAUUUUGAAUUUUAAGUCCGAGAAACUCUUAAGUGGUAUUAGUGGAAGCUCUCAAUCAUUUUUUCGUUUGUUUGAAUAUUCCAAAUAUUUACCCGACUUUCUUCUUUCCUUUUCAAAGUUAAAUAUAAUGCUAAUCAUACAGCAAAUGUAGUGUGUAGUGUGGCAUAUUUACUUUGGGCUGAAUAUUUUUAUUAACUAUACCAGGAUCUCUUAUGCAUAGCUACUGUAUCUUAGCGUCAGUAAGCCAAGUUUCAAGUUGGUAUCAUACAUAUAUUCCUUUAACCCGAUAAUAUCUAUCGUUUGCCCUUGGACCAAAAUACUUCCUGAAUGCUUAUGCUCACUUUUAGUAUAUGGAUUUGUGUUAAUUAAUUUCUUUUUUAAUUUGUUUUAGGCAUUAUUAGGUAUUAUCCAUGGCUCCCGUUGGUGUCAUAUAUAUAGUGGAACACCUAAACCAUAGAGAAUAACGAACAUUCCUUGGACAAAUCAAAUAGCAAAAGGCAUAUUUUGUUACAUCACAAUAUGGCUUUACAACUAAUUCAUUUAUCGAUACUAAAAUCCAGUUGCAGCAUUAGCUCUAAGAGGCAAGAAAUGGUAUUACUUUGGAGUAGAGAAAGUUUUUCUUUGCUAAAGAAUGAAUAGGAUAUAGUUGAGUGUCCCUUAUGUGAAAUUGGGGUCAUUUUGUGAUUUUUCCCAUUCAAAAAUAUUUAGAUGGUUUUGCAUUUUGCUUCUUAAAGUGGUCCAUAGUAAUUACAUGCUGAAUUAUUUUUUUAUCCAUAGGUGGUUUUACACAACUGUUUUUUUAGGGACUCGGAAGUCUGGGAAGUGACACAUUGAUUUAUCCAGGAACAACUUAAUUUGGUUGAGAAAAAGGAAAUAAAGUUAUUUGUUGGACUGAAGUUUCAGGCCAAAUAGCCAAGGGAGAAAUUCAAAAAUAGUCAGAUUUACAAGUGGUCAUUCAAAAAUAGUCACACUUUUAAAAGUAAUUGAA